rnacentral:rRNA from 1 species
UACGUAGGGUGCAAGCGUUAAUCGGAAUUACUGGGCGUAAAGCGUGCGCAGGCGGUUAUGUAAGACAGGGGUGAAAUCCCCGGGCUUAACCUGGGUACUGCAUUUGUGACUGCAUAGCUAGAGUACGGUAGAGGGGGAUGGAAUUCCGCGUGUAGCAGUGAAAUGCGUAGAUAUGCGGAGGAACACCGAUGGCGAAGGCAAUCCCCUGGACCUGUACUGACGCUCAUGCACGAAAGCGUGGGGAGCGAACCGG